GACGUAGGAGGCGAACGUUGUUCGGAUUCACUGGGCUUAAAGGGCGCGUAGGCGGCCUGUUAAGUCAGACGUGAAAUCCCUCGGCUCAACCGGGGAACUGCGUCUGAUACUGGCGGGCUUGAAUUCGGGAGAGGGAUGUGGAAUUCCAGGUGUAGCGGUGAAAUGCGUAGAUAUCUGGAGGAACACCGGUGGCGAAGGCGGCAUCCUGGACCGACAUUGACGCUGAGGCGCGAAAGCCAGGGGAGCAAACGGG
rnacentral:rRNA from 1 species